GACGAACGCUGGCGGCGUGCUUAACACAUGCAAGUCGAACGGUGAAGCGCCUUCCUUUUUGGUGGGUGUGGAUGAGUGGCGAACGGGUGGGUAACACGUGAGUAACCUGCCCCCUUCUUCUGGAUAACCGCAUGAAAGUGUGGCUAAUACGGGAUAUUCUGGGUCUGUCGCAUGAUGGGUCUGGGAAAGAUAUUGUUUCGGUGGGGGAUGGGCUCGCGGCCUAUCAGCUUGUUGGUGGGGUGAUGGCCUACCAAGGCGGUGACGGGUAGCCGGCCUGAGAGGGUUGACGGUCACACUGGGGCUGAGACACGGCCCAGACUCCUACGGGAGGCAGCAGUGGGGAAUAUUGCACAAUGGGCGCAAGCCUGAUGCAGCGACGCCGCGUGAGGGAUGGAGGCCUUCGGGUUGUGAACCUCUUUCGCCAGUGAAGCAGGCCUGCCUCGUUUGUGGGUGGGUUGACGGUAGCUGGAUAAGAAGCGCCGGCUAACUACGUG
rnacentral:rRNA from 1 species